rnacentral:SRP_RNA from 1 species
GCUGGGCGUGGUGGCCCACGCCUGUAAUCCCAGCUACUCAGGAGGCAGAGACAGGAGAAUUGCUUGAACCCAGGAGGCGGAGGUUGCAGUGAGCUGAGAUCACGCCACUGCACUCCAGCCUGGGUGACAGAGCAAGACACCAUCUCAA